UACGAAGGGGGCUAGCGUUGCUCGGAAUCACUGGGCGUAAAGGGUGCGUAGGCGGGUCUUUUAAGUCAGGGGUGAAAUCCUGGAGCUCAACUCCAGAACUGCCUUUGAUACUGAAGAUCUUGAGUUCGGGAGAGGUGAGUGGAACUGCGAGUGUAGAGGUGAAAUUCGUAGAUAUUCGCAAGAACACCAGUGGCGAAGGCGGCUCACUGGCCCGAUAACUGACGCUGAGGCACGAAAGCGUGGGGAGCAAACAGG
rnacentral:rRNA from 1 species